CCGCGGUGGUUGUGGUAGUGCCUAGUGAUUGCUUCAUUAGUGUGUUCUAUAAUUCGUACCCGUUGACGCGAUACUGUGGGGACGUUCUUGUGUUUGUGCUGCACUAGUAAGGAGAAGGAGUUCAUGAAGACAGCGUGUACAAAUCAAGAGGUUAGAAGAUGUACCUGGUGAGCGGCCUGGUGACGUGGGUAGCCGUGCUUCUGCUAGUGCUUCCCCAGCCAGCCUACACUGCCCUCAAUGAUCGGCCCCGGGUGAAGUGUCAGUCGGGUCACCUGAGGCUGGAGGGCGGCACUGGCAAGAACAUUACCCUGGUCACGCGAGGCUCCGGUGCUGUCACCAUCAACGGGGUGGACGUGGCCGGCUCUCUGUCUUUG